rnacentral:rRNA from 1 species
UACGUAGGGUGCAAGCGUUAAUCGGAAUUACUGGGCGUAAAGCGUGCGCAGGCGGUUAUGUAAGACAGAUGUGAAAUCCCCGGGCUCAACCUGGGAACUGCAUUUGUGACUGCAUAGCUAGAGUACGGUAGAGGGGGAUGGAAUUCCGCGUGUAGCAGUGAAAUGCGUAGAUAUGCGGAGGAACACCGAUGGCGGAGGCAAUCCCCUGGACCUGUACUGACGCUCAUGCACGAAAGCGUGGGGAGCAAACAGG